AACGAACGCUGGCGGCAGGCUUAACACAUGCAAGUCGAGCGCCCCGCAAGGGGAGCGGCAGACGGGUGAGUAACGCGUGGGAAUCUACCCAUCUCUACGGAACAACUCCGGGAAACUGGAGCUAAUACCGUAUACGCCCUUCGGGGGAAAGAUUUAUCGGAGAUGGAUGAGCCCGCGUUGGAUUAGCUAGUUGGUGGGGUAAUGGCCUACCAAGGCGACGAUCCAUAGCUGGUCUGAGAGGAUGAUCAGCCACACUGGGACUGAGACACGGCCCAGACUCCUACGGGAGGCAGCAGUGGGGAAUAUUGGACAAUGGGCGCAAGCCUGAUCCAGCCAUGCCGCGUGAGUGAUGAAGGCCCUAGGGUUGUAAAGCUCUUUCAGCGGGGAAGAUAAUGACGGUACCCACAGAAGAAGCCCCGGCUAACUUCGUGCCAGCCGCCGCGUAAAC
rnacentral:rRNA from 1 species